AACGAACGCUGGCGGCAGGCUUAACACAUGCAAGUCGAGCGCCCCGCAAGGGGAGCGGCAGACGGGUGAGUAACGCGUGGGAACGUACCCUUUGCUACGGAAUAGCUCCGGGAAACUGGAAUUAAUACCGUAUGUGCCCUACGGGGGAAAGAUUUAUCGGCAAAGGAUCGGCCCGCGUUGGAUUAGCUAGUUGGUGGGGUAAUGGCCUACCAAGGCGACGAUCCAUAGCUGGUCUGAGAGGAUGAUCAGCCACAUUGGGACCGAGACACGGCCCAAACUCCUACGGGAGGCAGCAGUGGGGAAUAUUAGACAAUGGGCGCAAGCUUGAUCCAGCCAUGCCGCGUGAGUGAUGAAGGCCUUAGGGUUGUAAAGCUCUUUCACCGGAGAAGAUAAUGACGGUAUCCGGAGAAGAAGCCCCGGCUAACUUCGUGCCAGCCGCCGCCGUAAGAC
rnacentral:rRNA from 1 species